GGCCGGGGGUGGGGUGGGGUGUGUAUGGAGGCAAGGAGGCGUGGUGUGCGAGGGAAGCUCUUUGCGGAAUGGGUCGCGCCUGCGCAGCUCGCCGUAGCUGUCAUCCGCGUACGGAACAACAAGUCCUACUUAAAUCGAGGGGCACGUGAAUAGUUACUGCCGUACAUAGAUUGUUGGAUUGAUGCAGAAAGCAGUUACCAGUUUAACAGGUAUAGCACCAAGCAGCCAUGGCCACUCAAUCGUUGGACCCUCCUCCAAAUGCAAGCUGUAAAAUCAUGACUUUUCACCCUACUAUGGAUGAAUUCAGGGAAUUUAACAAAUACUUGGCAUAUAUGGAAUCGAAAGGUGCUCACCGUGCUGGAUUGGCAAAGGUAAAUGUCUUAAUGUGCUGUGGAUCGCAUAACAAUGAAUGUUAACACAUAUGCCCCCUAUCCAUACUUUCUUUCAAAAUUGCAUUACUAAUAAACACAUGUAUUAGCACAGUGUUGUUUGACAUAUUGCUAAGUAUCAUUUGACAAAAUCACAUUUUUAUUUUAUGCCAUAUGUCAAACAGUUUAACUGAGUGUGGUCUUCCAUGCUUCCAUGCAUCUACUAAUGUAUGUAAAUGUUACACAAUACUGUAUAAAAAUCAUGCAAAAUACAUUCUUUGU